AUUAUAUUGUUUGCUUUUAAAAUUACCUUAAGGAAAUAACUUCACUGUCUGCUUCUAAUAAUGUUUAGUCAUUUAUUUGGUAAGUAAUUAAAGCACCAUCACUCUCCUGCCCUCGUCUUCAGGUGAUAAUCUAGACAUAGAGGGAGUGAGCCAACAAGUUGCUGUUAGAGUUAACUUGUUCCCUAACCCAUCUUGUGAAUAUCAAUGCUAACAACAGUGUCUUGUGUUUUUUUUUUUUCUUUUCUUUUCUUUUUCUUUAAAUCAAUGUGCUUUUUUCCUAUGUGAAUAAUUAUAUGUCUAGAAACAGCCAUGGAGUGAUUUUGCUGUUCUGAAUGGGGGAAAGAUUAAUAGUGACAUUUGGAAGGAUUUGCAUGCAGCCACUGUUAACCCGGACCCCAGUUUAAAAGAGUUUGAAGGAGCAACCCUACGCUAUGCAUCUUUGAAACUCAGAAAUGCCCCACACCCUGAUGAUGAUGAUUCUUGUAGUAUCAACAGUGACCCAGAAGCCAAGUGUUUUGCUGUGCGUUCUCUGGGAUGGGUAGAGAUGGCAGAAGAGGACC
rnacentral:lncRNA from 1 species